CAAGCGAUUCUCAUGCCUCAGUCUCCCCAGUAGCUGGGAUUACAAGUGCGUGCUGCUACGCUUGGCUAAUUAUUAUAUUUUCAGUAGAGAUGGCGUUUCACCAUGUUGGCCAGGCUGGUCUCGAACUCCUGGACUCAAGCAAUCCACCCACCUCGGUGUCCCAGAGUGCUGGGAUUAUAGGCGUGAACCACUGCGCCUGGCCUGGAUCAGUGCUUUUAACUUCAUUUUACAUGACACAGAUUUCUUUAUAGUGCAUUUUAUAUUACAUAUAUUACCCUGUUUCUAUGUUAUGUUGAUUCCUGGCUGACUCACGGGAAGCAGAGAUUGUAGCUGGGUAGAGGAGUUUGCAUUUGGAUUGGUGGCUUGCUUUGUUAAAUGAAAAUUACUGCCUUCACUAGGGUCCAUUAGCACAUCAAAAUGGUGCUUGUUGAGUCAGGAAAAGUGAUACAUUAUGCUUGCAUUUAUUCUUUGGUCCCCAAAGACUAAUUGUUGGUUUGUGUUUUUAAACACCCUUUCAAGUGCUUAAAGCCCCUAAUGAGUUAAAUUAGCAAACCAUUAGGCUUAAGAAUAGUGGUGUCACUGUGGACACAGUGUUCCAAUUAUUGAUGCCUGACACCAGGAUGCCAUGGUGAAUGCAACACUACAAAUCCCUCUAUUUCUAAUGCUACUGGACACUUGGCAAAGUGUUUACCCUGCAUUGCUGUGUGGUCCAUAUGUCAAUCCUUUGCCAUUUUACAGAUGAGGACACUUAGAAGCUUAGAGAUGUGAAGUGGUGUGCCAACUCAGAGCUAGUAAGGGACAUUUGCACGUAAGCUUUGAAACACCAGAGUCCCCACAUUACCCUAGAGAACACCAGUUUUGCAGAUGGCACUUGGUUUGGUUGUGGGCAUACGCACACUUUUUGAAUUUCUAAUAUAAACUGCCUGGGGCCCACCUCAAUACUGGCUUGAAAGUGAGCUAUCAUGUUGCCUCUUAGAGAUCGAACUUAGCUGCUAAGGACAAUCUCUUCAUGCAACUCAGGGACUCCAAGGAGACCAUUAUAAGGACCAUAGGAUGUUGUUAAAAGAGAUGCCCCUAAAAUCUGAUGAGGUGCCCAGCUGCUGUCUUUGAAUGGAUGGAAACCCAACCCCAUUGUGCAGGGAUAAUGCAGCUGCGACACUGGGAACAUCCAGAGACACUCUCUAAGUGAAACUCUUCACAGGGCCCUAGCAUACCUGUUUCAAGCUGAUGUUACUAAUCUUAAUUAUCACUAUCAUUUUAGCUUCCUUAAUAUUGGAUGCUUAGCAGUUCAAUUAAAACAUUUUCUUAAAAUACUUUAAAUAUGUAUUUAAAACAUCGAAUCAUCUCAACUGUCAUAUGAGGACAGUACUAUUAUUUUCCUGCCUUGCAGCUGAAGAUGUUGAAGCUCAGUGCAGUCGAGUGGUUUUCCUGAAGUCAGAGUGGCCACUCCUCACACGGUCUCCCGGGGCACUUUGCCUGAGAUGUCUCGGCUGGACCUCUCCUUUGGGUCGUUCGAGCUUUAUUGCUUAUCUUCAUGAUCUUGUGCAGUCAGGUGAGCCCCAGAUGUAUCAGAUUCAUCAGACCUUAGCAAGCCAGGACCAAAGCUUACCCGAGAUGGCCAGCAAGAAUGAGUCAUAAGGAGGUUCAGGUCACUGACAUGGCCUAAAUCAACCACAAACAGCCCUUGUAUUUUAGGACAGUGGGGAAAGGAGCCAGGAAUCACUCAAAAUCAAGGGCUUCUACUCUGUGGGACGUGUGUUUCUGUUGCCUUUCGUAAAAUGAGUGGAUCCUGUCUGAAGUUUUCUAACUAAAGUCUAGCUCCCCAAAUUCAGCCUCAACACCACCUAUCUGCUAGUGUAAGCAGCACACCGCUAAUGGGAGCUGCUUGCUGCUAGGGGAAUUUGACUUCUUCUUAAUGUGGAAUAAUCACUAUUACCUCUCAAUUACUUAACAAAUAGAGAAGCACAGGGCCACGUUAUUUCAAAAGAGCCUCCUGAGAGUAGGGCUGGAGAUCUCCAAAUGUUACCCGGAAUUAGCUAGGAGAGGGCAGGUGAUCAGAUCUUUUAAUAUCUACCCAGGGGAAAAUGCACAUAUUAUGUACUAAUAACUCAGGCAGCGCCUUAACUAUUCCUCACCCUCUCACUUUAAGCGUAGACCUGGGAAACACCCUGCUCCUUCUCUUCCUGCUAAGAAAUAGUCAAAUAGUAAGUAAGAGGAUUCAUCAGGUCCCUUCGGUUACUAGCAGUGGGGGUGGAUGGGCUGUCUUCCUCUCAAACUUGGUAGACCCACUUCCUGGCUGGAAAUCAAAUAGCAGUUUGGUAGAGAUGUAAAAAAAUGAGAAGAUGCUGACCUUCCCUCCACUAUUGUCCUAUGACCCUGCCAAAUCCCCCUCUGUGAGAAACACCCAAAAAUGAUCAAUAAAAAAUAAAUAAAUAAAUAAAUAAAUAAAUAAAAUGAGAAGAAAAAAAAUCAGUAAAUUAAGUAGUGGGGGUAAAAAAAAAAAAAAACCAAGUUAAAUGGGUUGGUAUUGUGCAGACAAAACCCACCACCCUGGGUUGUAAGCCAUCUCCCUAUUCCCUUUGGAACUAUAGUGACUAUCUUCUAUUUGGGGGUUUCUCAUAAGUCAAUAUUGUAAAAAUUCUAUGAAAAGCUGUUUUGGGUGAGUUAAACAUAGUCCAUUUUCUUGAAAAAUACAUUCUUUCCCAAGGCAAUUUUUUUUAGCAUCUUAAACCAGCAUUGUUUCCUAUGAGACAGUAGGAGCGAAAAUAGAGCUUUAGGUUUAUUUCCAAGAUUUGAUUAAAUGUAAUGUAGAAUUGCAACUUUGAAAGGAGCUUCGGUUUUUCUGGUGGCAUGAGAACUAAAAUUAAAUUUGAGUUUAGCUAAAAGUAAAAAAAAAAAUAACUCAAUGUGUAAUGAGGAUUAAAUGUUAGGGACCAGUUUGCCCAUGAGACUUUCGAUUUCACUCUGUUCAGCAUCUCUGAAUGGUCGGAGCAGAAGGCAUGCUUUACAUUUACAGGAGCAUGGAGACUUCAGGUAUUCUGCUCACUAGCUUUGCGUGGGUCUUUAUGCUGAGUGAAUAACUGUGCAUUUGUUGUAGAAUCAAGGACUAAAGAAGUAAAGGGGAGAGGAGAUUACCCUUUCAGAACCCCAAUUCCCACUAAACCAAAGGUAAGCUCUUUGUAACUAUUGAUCAGGAAAUAAAUCCCCUUUUAUUAUUCCACAGAUGCAGGAAAACCUUUUCUCCUUCUGCUAUUUCCCAACUCUUUCUACAAAUACAUAGUUUAUACUGACUUUGCAUUUCUUCUUACAGACCUGCUAAUUCUGAACAUUUAUGACCUCAACUGCUUAGUUCCACUCCCCGCCCCACCCCAGGAAAAUGGCAAGUGGAAAUACCCCAGCUGGGGUGUUGACUUUCGGGUCAUGAAUGCAUUCACUUCAAGAGAGGAGGGAGAAGAUGUUAGAAGAUGCAGGACCAGUUUCCCCUGUGGACAGAGGCCGUGGACGGCAUGUCUGCUGACCCACUAGUUGGGACUGCUUUGGCUCUUGCUGAAAUUGCAUUUCACUUGUUUCUGACCUAAUUAGGUCUGAACUCUUGGAACGUGGUCAAGCUUUUGCUUGCAUGCGGGAGUGCAAACACAGAUAGAUGCCUUACUGAGAUGGACAGGAAGAAUCUCUGGGGCAGAACUUGGGCUUCCAUGGGCCCAUCAACUUUGGGGUGUUUGCACUGUCAACAAUCCACUGGGAUGAGAAGAAGAUACUAGAACUUUUCUGAAUAUAUUUUGGUCAAAACGGUCAGAAAAGGUACGAAAUUAAAAGAAGCAUGACUAGUACUUAAUAUAUAUAGCUUGAAAUCAAUACAUGUAUACAAUUUAAUCAUGACUAUUCAUAUACCAGGGAUGAUCAAAUCAUUUAGGGAUGGGGAUACAUGAUCAAAACAGUUUGACAACCUCUAGUCUAUGGGAAGACGCACAGUGUUUUCCAGGGCAGCUGAGUAGAGCCCUUGCUCACCCUCCCAGAGCUGCUCCAGCUCCUUCCCACUCAUUUUCCUGUAUUCCUGGACAGUCUGGAUAUUCCAAACAGCUGCCAGCUCUCUGAAUGUGCUCUGCUGUUGUGUGCCCUGGGGUCUUUUCACCUGCCAUUUUCAACUUUGGAUCUCUUUCCCUCUGCUUAGUAAACCUUUUUUUACUUUUGUAAACAGUUUACUGUACUUGCUGGACAACAUGGAUCUGUCAGCCCUAUUACUCUCUCCUCAUAACUCUGUUAUUGCUUUACAAGUUUGUCACCCUUUUAUUUUUGGAGCAGCUGAAGGAUAAAGCUUGUUCUUUUACAUUUGUGUAUAAACGUCUGUAGAAUGAACAAAAGAAUGAAGUUAACAAACCUAGCCUUCAUUGAUGACUAGCUGUAGGGUUUACACCCUGAGAUUUGUUUGGGUCACCAGGAGGGGUCGCUGUUGGCACUUCCUGUAAUGGCCAGCGCCUGGCUGGUGGCUCUUUUCUGAGCAGUAGGUUCUCUCCCAAUAUAGCAGAGUCUAACUUAUUACCUCCUUCCCUCACCCUUCCUCCACUCACUUUCUUGAAAAGGGGACAGAGGCUGAGCCUAGAAGACAGGACACAGCCUCUGACUUCAUAAUAAAACUUUGUGUGCGAGGGGUUCCCCAAGAGCCCCCAGGAUGAACAUGUUGCUGGAUGGACUCACAAAUGCUGCUGGGGAAAUUGUUGAUGCUACCUUGCUUCUUCUAGACCAGAGAGCUAUUCUGGAACAAGCAACAGUACAUAAAGAGGCUUUUGAAAAUGUCAGUGGCUGAGAAACUGCAACCAGCAGCUAUGAGCGGAUUUUGAGGGGCAUAAAACCACACAGCUCCUGAAAGCAGCUGGACGUUCCACUGGCAAGCUGGACAGAAAAGUGCACCAAACUAGGCGAGAUCUUUUUAUUAACCACAGUGUCAGAGAAUGGCGAAUACAUGGCUAUUUGACUGUAAUUAUGAAAGCACUGGUACAAAUAAAAAAGGAGUACAGAAUGUCUUAGUCCCAUUCUUUAAGAUUUCUGUUAAUUUUUAAACUGUAUUUUAAUUUAAGGACAU
rnacentral:lncRNA from 1 species